rnacentral:rRNA from 1 species
ACAGACGAGGAGCUUGCUCCUCUGACGUUAGCGGCGGACGGGUGAGUAACACGUGGAUAACCUACCUAUAAGACUGGGAUAACUUCGGGAAACCGGAGCUAAUACCGGAUAAUAUAUUGAACCGCAUGGUUCAAUAGUGAAAGACGGUUUUGCUGUCACUUAUAGAUGGAUCCGCGCCGCAUUAGCUAGUUGGUAAGGUAACGGCUUACCAAGGCAACGAUGCGUAGCCGACCUGAGAGGGUGAUCGGCCACACUGGAACUGAGACACGGUCCAGACUCCUACGGGAGGCAGCAGUAGGGAAUCUUCCGCAAUGGGCGAAAGCCUGACGGAGCAACGCCGCGUGAGUGAUGAAGGUCUUCGGAUCGUAAAACUCUGUUAUUAGGGAAGAACAAAUGUGUAAGUAACUAUGCACGUCUUGACGGUACCUAAUCAGAAAGCCACGGCUAACUACGUGCCAGCAGCCGCGGUAAUACGUAGGUGGCAAGCGUUAUCCGGAAUUAUUGGGCGUAAAGCGCGCGUAGGCGGUUUUUUAAGUCUGAUGUGAAAGCCCACGGCUCAACCGUGGAGGGUCAUUGGAAACUGGAAAACUUGAGUGCAGAAGAGGAAAGUGGAAUUCCAUGUGUAGCGGUGAAAUGCGCAGAGAUAUGGAGGAACACCAGUGGCGAAGGCGACUUUCUGGUCUGUAACUGACGCUGAUGUGCGAAAGCGUGGGGAUCAAACAGGAUUAGAUACCCUGGUAGUCCACGCCGUAAACGAUGAGUGCUAAGUGUUAGGGGGUUUCCGCCCCUUAGUGCUGCAGCUAACGCAUUAAGCACUCCGCCUGGGGAGUACGACCGCAAGGUUG